rnacentral:rRNA from 1 species
UACGAAGGGGGCUAGCGUUGUUCGGAAUUACUGGGCGUAAAGGGCGCGUAGGCGGUGUGUCAAGUCAGGCGUGAAAGCCCCGGGCUCAACCUGGGAACAGCGCUUGAGACUGGCACGCUCGAGUUCGGGAGAGGAUGGUGGAAUUCCCAGUGUAGAGGUGAAAUUCGUAGAUAUUGGGAAGAACACCAGCGGCGAAAGCGCGCGACUGGGCCAUUACUGACACUCAUGGACGAAAGCUAGGGGAGCGAAAGGG